rnacentral:rRNA from 1 species
UGGGGAAUAUUGGACAAUGGGCGCAAGCCUGAUCCAGCAAUGCCGCGUGAGUGAUGAAGGCCUUAGGGUUGUAAAGCUCUUUCGCACGCGACGAUGAUGACGGUAGCGUGAGAAGAAGCCCCGGCUAACUUCGUGCCAGCAGCCGCGGUAAUACGAAGGGGGCUAGCGUUGUUCGGAAUUACUGGGCGUAAAGGGCGCGUAGGCGGCCUGUUUAGUCAGAAGUGAAAGCCCCGGGCUCAACCUGGGAAUAGCUUUUGAUACUGGCAGGCUUGAGUUCCGGAGAGGAUGGUGGAAUUCCCAGUGUAGAGGUGAAAUUCGUAGAUAUUGGGAAGAACACCGGUGGCGAAGGCGGCCAUCUGGACGGACACUGACGCUGAGGCGCGAAAGCGUGGGGAGCAAACAGGAUUAGAUACCCUGGUAGUCCACACCGUAAACGAUGAAUGCUAGACGUCGGGGUGCACGCACUUCGGUGUCGCCGCUAACGCAUUAAGCA